UACGUAGGGGGGCAAGCGUUGUCCGGAAUCAUUGGGCGUAAAGCGCGUGUAGGCGGUCCGGUAAGUCCGCUGUGAAAGUCGGGGGCUCAACCCUCGGAUGCCGGUGGAUACUGUCGGGCUUGAGUACGGAAGAGGCGAGUGGAAUUCCUGGUGUAGCGGUGAAAUGCGCAGAGUAUCAGGAGGAACACCAAUGGCGAAGGCAG
rnacentral:rRNA from 1 species